GGUGAAUUUUCCGCAAUGGGCAAAAGCCUGACGGAGCAAGACCGCGUGGGGGAAGAAGGCUCUUGGGUUGUAAACCCCUUUUCUCUGGGAAGAAAGUUGUGAAAGCAACCUGACGGUACCAGAGGAAUCAGCAUCGGCUAGCUCCGUGCCAGCAGCCGCGGUAAGACGGAGGAUGCAAGCGUUAUCCGGAAUGAUUGGGCGUAAAGCGUCCGCAGGUGGCAGUUCAAGUCUGCUGUCAAAGACCGGGGCUUAACUUCGGAAAGGCAGUGGAAACUGAACAGCUAGAGUAUGGUAGGGGCAGAGGGAAUUCCUGGUGUAGCGGUGAAAUGCGUAGAGAUCAGGAAGAACAUCGGUGGCGAAGGCGCUCUGCUGGACCAUAACUGACACUCAGGGACGAAAGCUAGGGGAGCGAAUGGGAUUAGAUACCCCAGUAGUCCUAGCCGUAAACGAUGGAUACUAGGUGUUGUCUGUAUCGACCCGGACAGUGCCGUAGCUAACGC
rnacentral:rRNA from 1 species